UCAGGAAACGGCCCACUUGUCAGCAGCUGGGCUCCCAGGAACAAAGGCCUAGGUUCAUUACCACAGUAUCGACCCUGACACGUUGCACUCGGGCCCCCUCCCCCAGAGUUCCUCAAUUCACACCCCAAAUGAAGCGUAAUUGGACCUGGACAUCUUUGGAGUCCCCAGAGCAGCUCGCCAGCAUUUUGAAAUGUCCUUGAUUUGCAUGGUGAAAACCUGGUUGGAGGUGACUUUUUCUUUCCCCUCAUCCCACGGUUUUAAAGACAGAAUGAUUUAAAAUGACAUUCCCCAGCCAGGGAAGAGUUACCAUGGAAGAGAUAAAAAUUCUCAAAGCCCAGAAAAGGCCAAAUAAGUCUGAGGAUUUGAUGAAUCUCUCAUUUGCUCCUUUGCUCGGAUUUUGUUCUGCGAGGGCCACAUACCAGGCCAUGGUUUCCUCUCGAACUUCUCCCCACGUCCCCGACCUGAGGGGAUGACGAGGAUCCAGGAAACUCGGCUAGGAGGUUCUGCAGGCCAGCAGGUUGCUGUCAGACCUGAAGCAAGAGCAGGAGCCCUGCCGCAGGCCGGUCCCUUAAUGGCCAUUUGUAUUGGAUCAAGUUCAUAAGGAUUUGCAGAGUUCCUCCAGGGCCUCUAUGAGGGUGAAGAACCAAGCUCUGCCAACCCCAGGUUCUCAAGGAACAUUUGUCUGCUGUGGAAUAAAUCAGAAGUCACGCCCUCCCUCCCUCUGACAGCUGCAGGGGGAGAGGGUGGAGGAACUAUCCAGGGAAUGCGAGGGCAAUGGGGGCCACGUGUUUAAAAAUCACAUUUGGAAAAGUGGACCCUCUGUGCAUAAGAACAGCCACUGAGAGAAACAACAACAAAGAUGAACGGGUUGAAAAAGGCAAGUUCUUCCAUCGCCCUCCACGUUUGUCUCUCAUCUCAGGAUUCUGAUCGUCCCCAUUGGCCUUUUCCAUGAUGUCUAGGGUUGUAAAAUGGGCCCCAGCACAGAAGGAUACAUGGCCAUUUGGGGAGGAUUUUUUCCUGGAACUCUCCUGGGUUCUUCUGGACCAGUCCUAGAGGAAGCAAGUGGGUCGAAGCUUACCAAGUCAGCCCUGGAAGGGACCUUGGAGGGCAUCUAGUCCAGCCCUGCCAGCUGAAAGGCAGGAUUACCUAGUGGUUGAGCGCACACAUUUGGAGCCAGACAGCCCCAGUUUGAACCAGUUCUCCACCACUUCCUAGCUGUGUGACCUUGGACAAGUUUACUAACCUCUGCCUUGGUUUCCUCGUGUGUCACAUGGGGAUAGUAAUCAUCAUACCUACCUCAGACAAUUGUAGCGGUGACAAAAUGAAUUAACAUAUAAAGCAUCAGGAAUAGCACAAAGCGUACAGUAAGCGUUUGAUAAGAGAAGGAAAUGAGGCUCAGAGGAGAAGCAGCCUCCCCGAGGUCACUCAGGGAUUUGCCAAACUGAGCUGGACUCGGUGAAAAAGAGGAGAGGUUACUGCCUCUUGGAAAUUCUGACUAAUAACUGUUUCUCUGCCUGUGUGACGUCAUCCUCGCUCAACACUUGGAGAGAGACCUCAUGUGGAAGUCAGGGUGCCACGUUCCAGUCCAGACGUGCUGCUAACCGACAGUGUCCCUCCUAGCUAAUGAGCUUGGGGCUGGAUGGUCUCUGGGGUCCCUUAUAAUUUGAAAUUAGGGUCUGUACCCUCCAUUCAAGUCAAGUCUGUCUUUUCCUGCAACACACUUUACACUGUUUUUUUUUUUUUUCUCCCCAUUUCCCUCUGACGUUUUGCCCAACUGUAUCCUGUGUGCAUCAACACCCGGUUUCCUUUUGACCCUCCCACUCUGUCCCUCCCCACGUUGGCCCCUCUCCCCUUCCCCCCUGCUAGGGCAAUCAUGGGCUCCCACUGGCCCACACCUGAGCCCUCAGUUGCCAGGUUUAAGUUGAUUUGACACUGUCUUGGAGGUGUCUUGAAAGUUACCAUGUAGGCACCUUGAAACUAGAGACUGGAUUUCUUCCUUGUCAUGGCCCACUUUAAGAGUCUAAUAGAGUGCCCUUGGCAGAGUGGCUUAUCCAUUAUGGAUUGCUGACUGGCUCUAAAACGAGUCGGGAUAUUGGAUGAAAUCUUGGAUUAUCGAGGCUCCCUCUGGAACAUUCAGUACAGCUGUCAUAGAUGUCCUGUGUUCGGGAGAAAACCGGUGUUAUCAAACUUCAAAGCUUGAUGAAAAGGGUAUUUUAGAACAAUUAAUGUUUCAAACUCGAAAAUUGCAGACUGCAGCACAGGAACGUUAGAUACUUCCUUUGCUGCCUUUCUUUCUCCCCAACCCUAUCCCACAUCCCCUUUCCCUAAAGUACAAGCCUGGGUCAGAUGUUAGGUUGCCACCUGUUGGUAUAAUGAGGCAUUGCAGCCCAGCUCUACGAAAUACUGUAAAUGCCUGUAGGGAAGUGUACAGAGACUGAAAUGCUGGGAGAUGUGAUUGUAGAGUCAGGUGUGGCCCAGAGGAAUAUCUUCUGGAUUAGGUUGAUCCUGAGGGAAGGGUGAGGGCUAACAGCAGAGGGGAAUCCUGGAGUAAGAGAGACACUACUAAGCCCUCUAAGUGCUGUAGAGGAAAAGCAAACAGUUAUUUGGAGGCACUAACUUCUGUAAUACCUAAUACUGUUAGUGUGUAUAUAAUAAGACCUCCAUACCACUGGGCUGACCAUCAGUGUAAUCCUGCCUUUCUCAAACCUUUGCCCUCAGUCAAAGUUGUUGGAGCCCAACUUAAAACUACAUUGAAGAGCAAAGAAAA